GUUGACGUCCUUGAUGUCGAGGUGGUGCCAGAGACGCAGCAACAAAUGCCUGCACGCACGGUCUACACGCUGCCGAAUCCACCAUUAACCCUGAAGAUGAUCAUGGAAAAUCAUGAGCCUGGGAAGCAUUUCAGGAACAGAAAUCAAGUAGUGCAAUGGCUUUUCCAUGACCUCUGCUCAUACACACUGUACCCUGGAAAGCUGUAUGAUGUUGCUGCUAGCGCCCUGGUUAAUGCCUACGAGAACUUAAAGGACUCAACGGGAACUGGACAUGAUUCCUGGCGAGAGGCCCUUAGGUUUAGGGCAAAGUAAGAACGCAGAAAGAUGAGGCAAGAAGCUGGAGAAGCAACUCCUGUGGCAGCCAAGAGGCCAUGCAAGCCUACCAUUUCUGAGGAUGUUCAGAAAAGAGUUACAAGGCCUUACGUGGCUACUGAUCUCUGUGAUGCAGAGGACCCAGAAAGUAUUGUGGCACAUAUAUCUGGCAUGCAGAAGGAGAUGAGGAAGGCGAGGCCAGACAAAGCAUAUAUAAGUGACAGCAUGUCUAGGA